UACGGGGGGGGGGCAAGCGUUGUUCGGAAUUACUGGGCGUAAAGGCUCGUAGGCGGCCAACUAAGUCGGAUGUGAAAUCCCCAGGCUUAACCUGGGAACUGCAUCCGAUACUGGAUGGCUUGAAUCCGGGAGAGGGAUGCAGAAUUCCAGGUGUAGCGGUGAAAUGCGUAGAUAUCUGGAGGAAUACCGGUGGCGAAGGCGGCAUCCUGGACCGGCAUUGACGCUGAUGAGCGAAAAGCUAGGGGGAGCAAACGGGG
rnacentral:rRNA from 1 species